rnacentral:rRNA from 1 species
UGGCUCAGGACGAACGCUGGCGGCGUGCCUAACACAUGCAAGUCGAGCGGGGACAUUCGACGGACCAGAAGUUUCGGAUGGAAGGGAAGAUGAAUGUUCUAGCGGCGGACGGGUGAGUAACGCGUGAGCAACCUGUCCUUCACAGGGGGAUAACACAGCGAAAGUUGUACUAAUACCGUAUAAGACCACGGCGGGGCAUCCCGAAGGGGUCAAAGGAGCAAUCCGGUGAAGGGUGGGCUCGCGUCCGAUUAGAUAGUUGGUGAGGUAACGGCCCACCAAGUCGACGAUCGGUAGCCGACCUGAGAGGGUGAUCGGCCACAUUGGGACUGAGACACGGCCCAAACUCCUACGGGAGGCAGCAGUGGGGAAUAUUGGGCAAAUGGGGGAAACCCUGACCCAGCAACGCCGCGUGAGGGAAGAAGGUUUUCGGAUCGUAAACCUCUGUCCUUGGUGAAGAGGAAGAGACGGUAGCCAAGGAGGAAGCCCCGGCUAACUACGUGCCAGCCGCCGC